UGCAAGUCGAACGGCAGCGCGGGGCAACCUGGCGGCGAGUGGCGAACGGGUGAGUAAUAUAUCGGAACGUACCCUGGAGUGGGGGAUAACGUAGCGAAAGUUACGCUAAUACCGCAUACGAUCUAAGGAUGAAAGUGGGGGAUUCGCAAGAACCUCAUGCUCCUGGAGCGGCCGAUAUCUGAUUAGUUAGUUGGUGGGGUAAAGGCCUACCAAGGCAUCGAUCAGUAGCUGGUCUGAGAGGACGACCAGCCACACUGGAACUGAGACACGGUCCAGACUCCUACGGGAGGCAGCAGUGGGGAAUUUUGGACAAUGGGCGCAAGCCUGAUCCAGCAAUGCCGCGUGAGUGAAGAAGGCCUUCGGGUUGUAAAGCUCUUUUGUCAGGGAAGAAACGGUGUUUUCUAAUACAGAAUGCUAAUGACGGUACCUGAAGAAUAAGCACCGGCUAACUACGUGCCAGUAGCCGCGGUAAUACGUAGGGUGCAAGCGUUAAUCGGAAUUACUGGGCGUAAAGCGUGCGCAGGCGGUUUUGUAAGUCUGUCGUGAAAUCCCCGGGCUCAACCUGGGAAUGGCGAUGGAGACUGCAAGGCUAGAGUUUGGCAGAGGGGGGUAGAAUUCCACGUGUAGCAGUGAAAUGCGUAGAUAUGUGGAGGAACACCGAUGGCGAAGGCAGCCCCCUGGGUCAAGACUGACGCUCAUGCACGAAAG
rnacentral:rRNA from 1 species